CACCGCGGUUAUACGAGAGGCCCAAGUGGAUAGACUCCGGCAUAAAGUGUGGUUAAGGAUUAAACUAAACUAAAGCCGAAUACUUUCAGAGCUGUUAUACGCAAAUGAAAGAUUGAAGCCCAACCACGAAAGUGGCUUUAACAACCCUGACGCCACGGAAGCUACGGGA
rnacentral:rRNA from 2 species